ACCAUGAUGUCUGUCUGCUUCUCUUGAGAAUGCCACUUCUGUUUGUUUCAUUGAAGAUUCAGAGUAAUUGCAAAUAAUAACAGUGCUGCAAACUAUGACUAGAACAAGAUGGAGCCAUUCAAGCAGAAAUCUUGAGGCAACUGCAUCUCAGCCUGGAGUCUGAGACAGCUAUGGGCUGUGUAAUGUUGGAAUAGUUGACUGGAAGUUGGAGUGUAAAAAAUGGAGCAUGCAAUCUCUCUCAUUUCUGUAGUAUGAAGUUCCAUGGCAGCUACUAACAUUGCUUCUGGACUGAACACGUCUUUUCUUUUUGGCACUAUAUUGAAAGAUCUGGGAAGAAGCUGAAAGACACACAGAGACGUAGAC
rnacentral:lncRNA from 1 species